rnacentral:rRNA from 1 species
AUUGAACGCUGGCGGCAGGCCUAACACAUGCAAGUCGAACGAGUGGCGGACGGGUGAGUAAUGUCUGGGAAAAUGCCUGAUGUGGGGGGAUAACUACUGGAAACGGUAGCUACUACCGCAUACCAUCAGAUGUGCCCAGAUGGGAUUAGCUAGUUGGUGGGGUAACGGCUCCACAAGGCGACGAUCCCAAUCUGGUCUGAGAGGAUGACCGGCAACACGGGAACUGAGACACGGUCCAUAAUCCUAAGGGAGGCAGCAGUGGGGAAUAUUGCACAAUGGGCGAAAGCCGGAUGCAGCCAUGCCGCGUGGAUGAAGAAGGCCUUCGGGUUGUAAAGUACUUUCAGCGGGGAGGCGUUACCCGCAGAAGAAGCACCGGCUAACUCCGUGCCAGCAGCCGCGGUAAUUC